rnacentral:snRNA from 1 species
AUCGUCUCUCGGCCUUUUGGCUAAGAUCAAGUGUAGUAUCUGUUCUUAUCAGUUUAAAUCUGGGUGCUAUUCUCAGUUGUAUUUAGAUUAAAAAAUAUGUCCAGAUCUAUUGAAACAGAAUUUGCAUUUUGACAAGAUUCCCCAGGU